rnacentral:rRNA from 1 species
AGAGUUUGAUCAUGGCUCAGGAUGAACGCUAGCGGCAGGCCUAAUACAUGCAAGCCGAACGGCAAGAUUUUCAGCAAUGGAAAUCCUAGAGUGGCGUAAGGGUGCGUAACACGUAUGCAAUCUACCCUCAACAGGAGGAUAGCUCCCCGAAAGGGGAAUUAAGACUCCAUAAGAUAUCAGAGUGGCAUCACUUGGAUAUUAAAGUACAAGCGGUUGAGGAUGAGCAUGCGCAUGAUUAGUUAGUUGGCGGGGUAACGGCCCACCAAGACGAUGAUCAUUAGGGGAACUGAGAGGUUGAUCCCCCACACUGGCACUGAGAUACGGGCCAGACUCCUACGGGAGGCAGCAGUAGGGAAUAUUGGACAAUGGGUGCAAGCCUGAUCCAGCCAUGCCGCGUGCAGGAAGAAGGCCUUCUGGGUUGUAAACUGCUUUUGCCAGGGGAUAAAAUAGUCUUGCGAGACGAAUUGAAGGUACCUGGUGAAUAAGCCACGGCUAACUACGUGCCAGCAGCCGCGGUAAUACGUAGGUGGCAAGCGUUGUCCGGAUUUAUUGGGUUUAAAGGGUGCGUAGGCGGUCAAUUAAGUCAGUGGUGAAAUACGGCAGCUUAACUGUCGAGGUGCCAUUGAUACUGGUUGACUUGAGUACUGAUGAGGUAGGCGGAAUGGACGGUGUAGCGGCGAAAUGCUUAGAGAUCGUCCAGAACACCGAUAGCGAAGGCAGCUUACUAAGGAGUAACUGACGCUGAGGUGCGAAAGCGUGGGGAGCAAACAGGAUUAGAUACCCUAGUAGUCC